CUCACCCGUUUCCCCCAGCCCAGGAAGCACUUUCCACCACACCCGGGGUUUCUUACAGGUCAAAGCUUUUUAUUUCAAUUAUGAGCCUUGGGCAGAAUGUCAACCAAAACAGUUAUUUGCUUAGUUUGGGCUACCACCCUGCCUCUGAAACGCCUUCCUUUCAGUUCCUCUGCUUUGGGGACUAUUGUAGGACAUUGCCUGAAACUUCAAUAGGGAGCAUCUGGACAUGUUUCAGAAGGUUUUGCAGCUGUAUAGGGCUGACUGGCCAGGGGUCUCUCCAGCCUGUUCAAGGAGCUGUCUUUUGUGCUGAGAAAACUCUGUUUGGUACAGAACACCCCUUUUUCUACAGACUUGACUCUUGUGGCUUUCAGGCUUCAGAGCUCCGUUUUGAUUGCAGAUCUGAGGAAGAAAUAUUCUUCGCCACACAGGAUCACGGGAUAAUUCAGUUUGGAAGGAACCUGGUGAAGUGUCUGGCCUAACCUCCUGCUACAAGCAAGGCCACACCAAGUUACUCAGGGACUCAGGGAUUCAGUUGGGACUCAAAAACUGGAAGGAAUGGAGACUACACAACCUCCCUAAGCAACACAAUAUCCCAAUAAGAUAAUAUAGUGCAAUUAAUUUCAUGGGGAAAUCCUUAAGUCACACUCUUUUCAAGAUGUACAUCCUUUUACUAGAUUUCCUCAAAAGCAAGAGAAUUAAAAAGAACUGAAAAACAUUCCCAUCUCAUUCUAUUUUCAUUUUUCACACGUUAACUUUUUCACUAGUUGAACUUUAUAAAAAUUAUCAGUGUGAGGCUUUUCUUACUUGUGAUUCAAAAUACGUAUGUUUGAAAAGGAAUAGGUUGGGGUUUUUUUCAAAUUCAAGAUAUUUCUCUCAACAGCUGCACCUGAACUUAUCUGAGACCCCUGAGAUUGCAUACCCUGGUUCCAGACGUAGCUCUAUUUGUCCACAGUGUGUGUAACAGCAAUAAUAAUAGCGCCAGCCUGGUGUGUGAGCCCAGCUUGCUGCUUUCCCUGUGGCCUGCUGUAAAUGAACACAAUUGCUCGACUGACAUUUCCAGUAUUCUUAAGCUCAGCUAGACCAUUUAGUCAACCCUGACUGUUCUGAUUUUACAAAAAAAAGAUUACAUAUUAAUUUCAACUCUUUGUGCUACAAGAACUUAGUCAUCUAUGGCAGUUUUACAUAGCACUUUUUUUGGGUUUUUUU
rnacentral:lncRNA from 13 species